UGGGGAAUAUUGCACAAUGGGGGAAACCCUGAUGCAGCGACGCCGCGUGAGCGGAGAAGGCUUUCGAGUCGUAAAGCUCUGUCCUAUGAGAAGAUAAUGACGGUAUCAUAGGAGGAAGCCCUGGCUAAAUACGUGCCAGCAGCCGCGGUAAUACGUAAGGUCCGAGCGUUGUCCGGAAUCAUUGGGCGUAAAGGGUACGUAGGCGGGUAAGCAAGUUAGAAGUGAAAUCCUGUAGCUCAACUACAGUAAGCUUUUAAAACUGCUCAUCUUGAGAUAUGGAAGGGAAAGUGGAAUUCCUAGUGUAGCGGUGAAAUGCGCAGAUAUUAGGAGGAAUACCGGUGGCGAAGGCGACUUUCUGGCCAUAAUCUGACGCUGAGGUACGAAAGCGUGGGUAGCAAACAGG
rnacentral:rRNA from 1 species